UCCGGUUUGUCACCGGCAGUCAUCUUAGAGUGCCCAACUGAAUGCUGGCAACUAAGAUCAAGGGUUGCGCUCGUUGCGGGACUUAACCCAACAUCUCACGACACGAGCUGACGACAACCAUGCACCACCUGUCACUCUUGUCCCCCGAAGGGGAAAUUCCUAUCUCUAGGAAAGGCAAAAGGAUGUCAAGACCUGGUAAGGUUCUUCGCGUUGCUUCGAAUUAAACCACAUGCUCCACCGCUUGUGCGGGCCCCCGUCAAUUCCUUUGAGUUUCAGUCUUGCGACCGUACUCCCCAGGCGGAGUGCUUAAUGCGUUAACUUCAGCACUAAAGGGCGGAAACCCUCUAACACUUAGCACUCAUCGUUUACGGCGUGGACUAC
rnacentral:misc_RNA from 1 species